rnacentral:rRNA from 1 species
GUUGAUCCUGCCAGUAGUCAUAUGCUUGUCUCAAAGAUUAAGCCAUGCAUGUCUCAGUACAAGCCUAAUUAAGGUGAAACCGCGAAAGGCUCAUUAAAUCAGUUAUGGUUCCUUAGAUCGUACCCACAUUUACUUGGAUAACUGUGGUAAUUCUAGAGCUAAUACAUGCAAACAGAGCUCCGACCGGAGACGGAAGGAGCGCUUUUAUUAGAUCAAAACCAAUCGGCGGCGGGUUCGCGCCCGUCGUCGUACAACUUGGUGAAUCUGAAUAACUUUCUGCUGAUCGCAUGGUCUCGCACCGGCGACGCAUCUUUCAAAUGUCUGCCUUAUCAACUGUCGAUGGUAGGUUCUGCGCCUACCAUGGUUGUAACGGGUAACGGGGAAUCAGGGUUCGAUUCCGGAGAGGGAGCCUGAGAAACGGCUACCACAUCCAAGGAAGGCAGCAGGCGCGCAAAUUACCCACUCCCGGCACGGGGAGGUAGUGACGAAAAAUAACGAUACGGGACUCAUCCGAGGCCCCGUAAUCGGAAUGAGUACACUCUAAACCCUUUAACGAGGAUCAAUUGGAGGGCAAGUCUGGUGCCAGCAGCCGCGGUAAUUCCAGCUCCAAUAGCGUAUAUUAAAGUUG